CACGUAGGGUGCGAGCGUUGUCCGGAAUUAUUGGGCGUAAAGAGCUCGUAGGCGGUUUGUUGCGUCGGCUGUGAAAUCCCGAGGCUCAACCUCGGGUCUGCAGUCGAGACGAGCAAACUAGAGUGUUGCAGGGGAGACUGGAAUUCCUGGUGUAGCGGUGAAAUGCGCAGAUAUCAGGAGGAACACCGGUGGCGAAGGCGGGUCUCUGGGCCGAUACUGACGCUGAGGAGCGAAAGCGUGGGGAGCGAACAGG
rnacentral:rRNA from 1 species